rnacentral:rRNA from 1 species
GACGAACGUAGGCGGCGUUCUUAACACAUGCAAGUCGAGCGAUGAAGCACCUUCGGGUGUGAAUUAGCGGCGAACGGGUGAGGAACACGUGAGAAAUCUGCCUUCAACACUGGGAUAACUCCGGGAAACCGGGGCUAAUACCGGAUAUGAAACCUGCGGGCAUCCGCGGGUUUGGAAAGUUUUUCGGUUGAAGAUGAUCUCGCGGCCUAUCAGCUUGUUGGUGAGGUAAUGGCUCACCAAGGCGACGACGGGUAGCCGGCCUGAGAGGGCGACCGGCCACACUGGGACUGAGACACGGCCCAGACUCCUACGGGAGGCAGCAGUGGGGAAUAUUGGGCAAUGGAGGAAACUCUGACCCAGCGACGCCGCGUGCGGGAUGAAGGCCUUCGGGUUGUAAACCGCUUUCAGCAGGGAAGAAGCGAAAGUGACGGUACCUGCAGAAGAAGCACCGGCUAACUAUGUGCCAGCAGCCGCGGUAAUACAUAGGGUGCAAGCGUUGUCCGGAAUUAUUGGGCGUAAAGAGCUCGUAGGUGGUUCGUCACGUCGGAUGUGAAACUCUGGGGCUUAACCCCAGACCUGCAUUCGAUACGGGCGAGCUUGAGUAUGGUAGGGGAGUCUGGAAUUCCUGGUGUAGCGGUGGAAUGCGCAGAUAUCAGGAGGAACACCAAUGGCGAAG